rnacentral:rRNA from 1 species
GACGAACGCUGGCGGCGUGCUUAACACAUGCAAGUCGAACGGAAAGGCCCUGCUUUUGUGGGGUGCUCGAGUGGCGAACGGGUGAGUAACACGUGAGUAACCUGCCCUUGACUUUGGGAUAACUUCAGGAAACUGGGGCUAAUACCGGAUAGGAGCUCCUGCUGCAUGGUGGGGGUUGGAAAGUUUCGGCGGUUGGGGAUGGACUCGCGGCUUAUCAGCUUGUUGGUGGGGUAGUGGCUUACCAAGGCUUUGACGGGUAGCCGGCCUGAGAGGGUGACCGGCCACAUUGGGACUGAGAUACGGCCCAGACUCCUACGGGAGGCAGCAGUGGGGAAUAUUGCACAAUGGGCGGAAGCCUGAUGCAGCAACGCCGCGUGCGGGAUGACGGCCUUCGAGUUGUAAACCGCUUUCGCCUGUGACGAAGCGUGAGUGACGGUAAUGAGUAAAGAAGCACCGGCUAACUACGUG